AUUGAACGCUGGCGGCAUGCCUUACACAUGCAAGUCGAACGGUAACAGGUCUUCGGAUGCUGACGAGUGGCGAACGGGUGAGUAAUGCAUCGGAACGUGCCCAGUUGUGGGGGAUAACUGCUCGAAAGAGCAGCUAAUACCGCAUACGACCUGAGGGUGAAAGCGGGGGUUCGCAAGACCUCGCGCAAUUGGAGCGGCCGAUGUCAGAUUAGGUAGUGGGUGGGGUAAAGGCCUACCAAGCCGACGAUCUGUAGUUGGUCUGAGAGGACGACCAGCCACAAUGGGUCUGAGACACGGCCAGACUCCUACGGGAGGCUGCAGUGGGGGAUUGUGGACAAUGGGCGCAAUCCUGAUUCAGGAAUGCCGCGUGCAGGAAGAAGGCCUUCGGGUUGUAACCUGCUUUUGUCAGGGAAGAAAUCCUCUGGGUUAAUACCCCGGGGGGAUGACGGUACCUGAAGAAUAAGCACCGGCUAACUACGUGCCAGCCGCCGCAGUAACAC
rnacentral:rRNA from 1 species